rnacentral:rRNA from 1 species
GCCUACUGCUACGCCUCCCUGAACGUGCCCUAUCUUGUCUGAUCUCGGAAGCUAUGCAGGGUAUUGCCUGGUUAGUACUUGGAUGGGAGAUCACCUUGGAAUACCGGGUGCUGCAGGAG